rnacentral:rRNA from 1 species
UCCACGGUGUAAACGCUGCGGGCUUGGUGUUGGGGAUCCUACGAGGGUGUCCAGUGCCGGAGAGAAGUUGUUAAGCCCGCCGCCUGAGGAGUACGAUCGCAAGAUUGAAACUUAAAGGAAUUGGCGGGGGAGCACUGCAACGGGUGGAGCGUGCGGUUCAAUUGGAUUCAACGCCGGAAAACUCACCAGGAGCGACUGUUACAUGAAGGUCAAGCUGAUGACUUUACCUAAUU